rnacentral:misc_RNA from 1 species
AAGCACUGAGGGGAGCCUGGGCUCCCCUCGAAUAAGUUACGUGUGCUUUGUUUUUCUUGUUUAGCGAUCUGUUGUUUUUAUUGGUGAUCGACAAGCUUUUCAUCAGAUCCCCAGAAGGGACCAAGGGCAAACGUAUUUUUUUGGUUGCUGGCAGUGCCAUUGUCACCAAGUGAUCCAACCAGAACGAGCUACCUCAAGGUAGUU